AGAAACUCAUGGUUGAUUAAGGAUGGUUUUUAUUAUUGGGUGGUUGUAGGGUUGUGUGCUGUUUUGGGCUCUUAGUUUGUUUUCCUUUUUUCUCUUUUUAACAUUAAGUUUUGAGUGGAAACAUCUCCAGAUUUUGGUUGGGGGCAUUCACAACAAAUGAGUCCUUGUGUUUGCCUCUGGGGAGGAGGUCCUGAGCAGACAAACCACAGUGUUUGUGCACAGAUACAAAGCAGAACAGAGG
rnacentral:lncRNA from 1 species